UAACGACUUACAGGUUUUACUCAAGACAGGGUCUUAAAAUUGAUUCAAGUGCGCCAUAGGUCUUGUAUACACUAACAGGGAGUUCUUUAUCUAUCUACUUAUCUACCUUAUCUGUUCAUCCAUCUAUCCGCUUAGUCUCUAUUCUGGCUCUCGUUAUAUAGGUUAUAUAGGUUAGGGCCAGCUUUGCCAACAGUACAAACUCACACUUACUCUGGCAGGCUGUAUAUUCAUUGUACGCGCACUGGGUCGUAGUUACCAGCAGCCACUGUCCCUCUGUCUCUCGAGAAUCGAGUGCGUGCAGCACGCUGACAUUCCUGAGCCCCGAGGAACUAGGCAUCGCUUAGAACGGUGCACUUGAUACGCCAAAGCGGCCAGGUCGUUCUUAGAAAACGGCCAUCGCCAAAUAUAUUUAACACGCUAUAUACACAGCCAACUCGGCUCUCCCAAAGCUUCGAUACAAUACCUCGUGACACUUUUACCACGUAGCACGAUAAAAGGUACUACCUAAAGUACAAGCAGACAAAUAACGUAUGACCCUCGAGAUUCUAAUAUUUCAAUUAACAGACACAACUGUUACCAUCGUCCCUGUCCACGUGUUAAUUGCUGCGACCUUACCGACUGAACUUCGCGCCGUUUCAACUGCAGCCCGCGCAGUGCGCAUGCGCCGAGCGAACAAGACCGCCAUGGAUUUUCCAUAGGGAUUCAACGGGAGCUGUCAAGUUUUUGUAACCUCGCGUGAUAAAUAGACACUCUACGAAACGAAGCAGCUUACACGAUGCGAUUCUGGUCUGUAUUAUAAAUCACGAUUAGUCGAGGAAUACAUACGUUUAAAGCUUAAGCCACAGUUUUAGCGGAUAGCGGCCAUAAGAUUCUGGACGAUCGAGUAAAUUAAUUUGUCAAAUACUAGGAUAUCCUACUCCUACGAGACACUCUUCUCUGGAGUGACGUAGUGUCGGGUUUUGGAACGUAUACAGUGACGAUGUGGGUGUGACCUGCUUUCCGAGAGUUUCACUUUCCUGUAACGUCGUACCAGAGGAGGUGAGGAGGAUUCGACCCCAGAGGUUACGUCAUGCAUUGUUAUGCCGGCCGUAGCGGCAGCCGAGUCAUACGCGUGGAUCCCCCACGAGAAUUAGAAUAAGAUAUGAUACCUCAAGUUAAUUGAACCAGACAGGACUAGAAAAACUUUCGUGUACACGUGAAACAUCCUGCUGCAAGUCACGCGUACGACUGCGACCUGGUGAACGCGUGCGGCACGCAGAAGCCGCAGGUUCUCCUGAGGUCUUGCGCAUGCGCACUAGGGACAAAAGGCAUGUGGAUAUAUUACAUAUGGUUAUACAUAGGUGAGUCUCUAUCUCGUAUUUAGCAUGAAGUAGCAUAGAGUCUCUGUGCUAUACUGUGAUGCUGCUAACUAUACAGUAUUAUAGUAUACCGUACUAUAGUACACGCUUAUGUGCUAUAUAGAUACGCAUAUGUAAAUAGCGUUCUCUCUACGUGUGGCACAUAUAAAAUCUCGUUCUAGCAUGCGACCUAUAUUCCACGGCUGCAUCGCUAUAUUAGACGCAUGUCCAGGGACGUCUACUAAGUUUAUACCAAGCGCCAGUGAUUCUCCCACCUGCUAUUAACUCCCAUCUAAAAAUUAAUACCGGCACCCGGUAUAUGGGAGCACACAAGCAGCGGCUCGUACAGAACCGGAAGGAUUGCCCUGCAGGGGAAUUUAUAUGCCGGACAAUCUAGGAUCGGCCUGAAAUCAUUGCGCCCGGAAACUACUUGGUGAGAUGCGAUUUUGAUAGUUGCUGUGUAACAGGGUAUAUAACCUAACCUUAUACCUACCUAGGACGAAUUGGAUGCUGGAUUUAUUUUUGAAAUAGACGACGCCAUCUUUAUUCCACGCCAUUCACUCGUUCCUACCUCUUUUUUGGAAUCUCGAUGCUGCCACGAGGUUUGGGAAUGUCUCUUUUUUCUAUCCAGAUAUAUUGUGCUAUAUAUAUGUAUCAUCACUGAUUCUUCUCGUUAGCCUAUCAAGUACUACAAGGCGAGUUUUCAUUUAUGCAAUAUUUCCAGGAUCUCAUGAAAAGUAGUGUUCCGGUCAAGUGCGCUUAAUUAGGUAGAAUUAAUUAUUAUUUAUCGCCAUGACUUUAAGCGCUUCUGAUACAGCAAUAACGCACGUGCAAUUAUUAUGAACGUAAGAGCACAUAUAAAAAGCCAGAAAAGUAAAGCAAUUCGUAAGACAGAAUGGAUACUGGUACGGGAAAGGGAAAGAAAAAAAAAGGUAAGGGAGAAAGGGAAAGAAAAUUGGAAGGAAGGAAAAUUGGUAAAUAAUUAAAUAAAAAAAAAAAGAAAAGAGAAUAAAGGCAAGAGCCAUUCGAUCCAAGUCUCUAUAAAUAUAUAUGGGAGCGCCCUUCAUUAGAAUCGCAUUAGAGCAAUGAUUGUAACGACGGCUUGAAGAAUUCCAUCGUUUCUUCCUCAUCAGGAAAAGCCUUCGAGCAUCUAGCAUUUCGCUCUAAAUAAUAAAAGUCAUCCGCCAUUAUGAGUAAUAACCAGCGUCACGCUGUGUGCAUCUACAGAAAGUUAUUUCGACCCGCUCGACCGGACGACUUCCGGUCCCCACUACGUCUUCUUCAAAACGGAAACGUCUCCAUGGCUAACACGCUUUUUCAUGGGUCCAUCCGAGUCCAUCCCACCGUGCUCGUACAGGCUGUUUCACAAAUCCGUUGACGCUCGUGUCCACGACAGUCUCCUUGAUGCGUUCCCGCGAUGCGUAAGCCUGCGUACACACUCCCACGCUAUCACGAGGAACCAAUCCCUUGGACCUAAACAAGAUGCAACGUAUAUACGGAAGUGGAAGAUCGCAGCAUCCUUAUGCCGAAUGGACCCUAUAAUUCUGGUGACCAGAUUAUUUCGUAACAACGAAAAGUGACCCACGCGAGAGAUACGAAAAAGGCCUGAUGACUUUUCGAGGACGUGUGGUCACGCAUACGCAUGUGUAAUUUAUAUAUCAUAGGUGAAAGGUCACCGUAUGCAGGGCUAUUCGAGCCACUCCAUUUCAUCUAUACCGGGUGGAACGAAAUUUCGGCUGGUGAGUUUAUACUGAAUCACUCCGUACGCAUAUACCUAAUCCCAAUACUCAUACCUUAACACUGGUUCUAUUAUAAAUCUUUCCCUUUCAGGAUCUAUCUCAUCGAUCAUAUCGAUCGUCAAGAUUGGACACUACCAACGCUACAGCUCCAAAGAUCCAGCCGUAUGUUCGCCAGAGCGCGGUUAUGAUAUUAAUAACGUUUCACGGUAUAAAAAGGAAGAGAACAGCAAGAUCGUUCGGUUCACCAUAUGGUCAACCUAAAUUCUAAAGGCCCACCAUACAUAACCAGCAUAACCUACAUCGGUGCUUGCAAGCAUAUCCCCUAUACAUUAUCCGUAUACAGUAGUCAUUAUCCAACAGACACUGAUGACUAUUGAAAUGAGAACUAAAAAAAUUUUGAUCCCCGCUUAGUACGGUAGCCAAAAAAAAAGAUCAAAUAACGUUAACAAAAAUUGGCAUAUGGACCGUCUUCGUGAGUUCCACGUCCUGUCGAUAGUUUCUAUUAGAGAAAAGUGAAGAAUUAUAAUUUUCACAGUGACGUCACUGACCGCAAUUCAACAUAGACACUACCCAAGAGGAUUCUCUCAUCGAAUAACAAAUGAAUGACAUUAACGUUCACUAUAAUAUUGUAUUACUAUUACCGUGACGAGUAUUACGUGUUUCUCAGGGCCCCCCUCUUUGCGGCCCCCUCUCUCCGUGAAAACACUCUUACUCUUGCAUGCAAGGAAUCAGGUCACUGCGCUGCAAGAAAGCAAGCUACGCUCGAGCCACGUAUUAGAAUUAUUGAAUAUCUCCCUCGUGCCCGGUGCCCCCCCUGAAGCCGCCCCUGCUCGGAAAAAGUCUGAUGACUAAGAGCCCGUUUCGUCAGGACUUUUCAUGAACCACCAACAUUUCUAAGACUUGAUCGUUCAGUACUUAAAUUUUUUUUUUUCCUAAUCAUUCACGCACACGCUAUUUCGUUGUCGGAUAUUUUGCGGUUUGAAAUUGACAGUGACAAAUUUUCUAUUCGGAUCAUCGACGACGGUCUUGAUGGACUGGUAUACGAGGUGGCGCUAAAUUAAUUGAAUUUUUUUAUUUUUUCAUUACUCUGGAUAAUCUGUACUUGUCCGAUUGCACUCUGGUUGCAGAUACGAGUGAGACUUUCGAGUGAUUUUAGUGAAGUCCCAAGAUGGCCGGUUGGGUCAUAGUUCAAUGCCAUUCAAUUACAUGGAUCGUAGAUGCGUAAUCACGACGAUAAGCUGCAUAACGGCGUUCAUCGAUCUCAGUCAGUAAUUAGCAUCCAUCGAUUGGAAAUGAGGAUCGGAUUGUGACGUAAUCGGGAGAAAGUAUCGAGUAUCGAAACCGGCCGAUAGGUCGGUUCGAAGGUUUCUUCCUGGAUUCCAGAAGCAAGGACGUUCGCCGUAUCCCAUUAAACGUAUCAUCAUCCUUCGACGUUCGCCAAGACGUCUUCCUUUUCCGUCCGUGUCAUCGCGAUGGCUCGAUUAUUAUUUCUUCAUUGUCACCCACCGUUCCCUGGAAUCAUACAUUCUGCAUUAUUCGUCUGACAUAGCGAGCGUUCCUUAAGAACCGGAAGUCGGUAAACGAAUAAAGAAGAAAAAUCAAGAGCGAGAAAGAAAUUGAGUGACAAGAAAAAGAAAAUUUAUCCGAGACAACACGGACGUGGAAGAAUAUUAUUAUGUAAAAAAAGAAUUUCCUCAAAUCCUACAUUCAAUUUAUCUGGCUAAUUGUUUAUAAUUAAAAGGAUCAGCGAGACCGUGCAAUCGGCACCAGGAUAAUCAUCGUGAUGACGAUAAUAAUUGUUGCAUAAUCAACCACCCAACUCGCAGUUCUCUUCUACUCCUCCUACUCCUCUUUGUGCAGACCCACAGUGGCACUCACUUUCCUUUUCCACUGGCCUGGAUCCUCUCCUGGUGCUUCCUUUCCUAUCUUCGCCUCCAAUCUUCGUUGGCUCCUUUUUUAUUUUUAUUUUUUUCCCUCCUUUAUGCCUUCUCCCACCUUCCAUUACAGGAAGACCCCGAUAUCCUGGAUAUCUAGAUAUCCGGAAUAUUCUAGAAGCUUCUAGAAGCACUGGUUAACAUUGGCACUGCUGUACGGCCUGUUUGUUUUCUAUGUAUAACAUAUAUAUCUUUUAACGAGCUAUUAUAAAAUCUCUACCGUGCGAAUCGAGCCGUUAUUACUGUGGCAUCGAUGUACGUUGACUUUUUCUACGUGGAGUAAUGGAGGAAGUAGACGGUAGGAUAGACCAGGCUCUUUUAAAGAAGAAACGGAAAUGCGCGAUAAUGUAAGAAACCUCAAGUAAGAUUUCCACGUACACAAGUCUCUCACUGUACAUUCUCAUAAAACCAAGUGAAGAAGCGUGCGCGUAAUGCUCGCUCCGUCCAAAAGCGAAGCUUCCAGAUAUCCCCGCUAGAGGUUCUCAAACAGCCACACGCUUUGUAUUGGUACGUUACGUCGAGUAAUGAAAUUCUUCGAGGCAUCGCAGACGGGUAUACGGAGCGAAGACGUUAUCGUACGUGCGAUGGAAUUGGAUCAGAAUUGUAAAAACGACGUACAAGUCGUCCAAAGGCGUCUUUCGAAACGACGCCUGGAAAUGACCAGUCAUUUAAAAGACUCUGUCGGCCUUGAGCACGGCGUCGUUCCUGACGAGUUGUCUAACGCCCAUCGUCGUCCAUACGCCGAGCAUUACGCUCGAGUGGGUACUUAUAUUUUGCCAAAAGAUAUGAUAAUUUAUUACGAACAACUAUCGGAUCCUCGUAGCUAAGUUUUUCU